ensembl:snoRNA SNORD57 small nucleolar RNA, C/D box 57
UGUAAAUGAUGACCAGUCUUUCCCCGACAUCACGAUGGGGGUAAAAACUGAUUUAAUGAGUCUGAUGC